rnacentral:lncRNA from 1 species
UCGAGCUGCCUCGUGCAACGCUGUAUCUUGCUCUUCAUUGGUCAUCCUCAACAUCUUUUUUGCUUCUGUUACUCCGCUCUCUGAAUCAGUAGGUAGAGCUUUGGCACGGUCAAUGAGGACCUUUACCACAUUGGAAUGACCAUAUGCUGCUGCCAAAUGGAGUGGGAUUUCACCUUUCUUAUUGGCUUGGAAUAACAGUGGUGGACACAUUUCAAGAAUUAUAACAACAAAAUCAGUGAGUUCCGGUUCCCUACUUUGGUUUCCUAAGUAGACAUGAAGAAUGGUGUUCUCGUCUGGAGUCAAUAACUGAUCAAGGCAGGUUUGAUAUUUCUCAAAGGGAUCGAUAUCGCCUUCAGCUGCAGCUUUGAACAAGACAGGAUCCAUAUAGCUGAUACGUUUCAUUUUCUCAGAAGAACCCAUUUUGUAGUUUAGAGAAACUCACUAAAUGAAAUGUAAAGAAAUGAAGGGGAGGAGAAAGUACUGUGGCACAAAGGGUCCACUCAACUGAUCACAAGCUGCUGAUUUCUUUGGUUUUUUACAAAGGAGAAAGUUAUUCAUGCUAAUCACAAAUAGACUCAUAAUGCAAAUAACUUCAUCUUUUAGGUGAUUGUUGAACAACAUGGUUAUGGAUGGAGGUGGCUCUAUUAAUAAGAACUGGAAGUGUAUUUCCCACAAUUAUUACAAUAUUUCUUCAAGCCAAAAUGAAGUUGCUGACAAAUUAGUAAGUAAGUGGCAGCUGUCAUUAAGAUAGAGUAUUAAUAAGAACAGGGGAAUUGGAAGCCGUCGCUUUUGAUCGUUUCAAUGGGGACUGGCCGCAUUAGCAGAUUCUAUCGCUAGAAGAUUUUAUAAUCAUCUAACAUGGUUAAUAAAUGUUAUUCUCCUUAAAAUAAUAAUCAAGUAUAAUUUCUAAAUCUUUAUUAAAAAACUUAAUUUCCAAAUAUAGAGAGAUAAUCAUAUAGUACUUAUAGUAAAAUAGAAUAUACAUUUAUGUCUAAGUAUUUAUGACUUUAUUUUUCAGAAGUAGAAGUCAUGAAAAAUAUAUUUUUUUCUUAAUUAAUAAUUCCUAUUUAUAAAGGGAUCUGCAUUGAUUUUUUGGAGUAUUUUAAUUAGCUGGCGAGGAAUCUGCAUUGAUUCGUUAUUUAUUCUAAUAAAAUAGCAUGCAAUUUAGUCUUUUUCAACCAAGUUGCAAAUUGGCUCUGAAUUUUCUUAACUUUUUGGCGGUGCCCAUGGAAUAGCUAUCUGACAAGCGCCCACGGAUCAGAUUUUUUUUUAUAAAAAAAUUAUUUUAAAAUAAAAAAAUCAAAAACUUUUUGACGUUUUGAGCAGACACGCAGAAUAUGGUGUCUGGUUUUUUUUAAAAAAAAACCCUUAGUUUUUAAUAGUGGGGUCCAUCAAAAGCAUCCUUUACAAGUUUUUUUUUAUUUCCAGUAGUUCACGUUACUGUUUGUGUUGUUAGCUGUUAUAUUUUUUGAAAUAUAUUAAAAUAAUAUUUUUUAUUAUUUUUUAAAUUUAAUUUUAAUGUCAACAUAUUAAAAUAAUUUAAAAAUAUUAAAUAUAAUUUAAUUCCAAACUAAUAAAAACAAAUUUUAAAAAAACAUGGUUGACACAUCUUGGACUUGAUAAGGAGAUCGUGGUCCAGCUCUAAACAGAAGAAAAACGAGUGAAGACAGAAAAGAUGCAAGUGGGGAAGAGAAAUUGACGUCGAGGGAGACAAGCUAGGACAAUCAUCAUACUGAGUAUGUUCAUGUUCAAGAACUUCUGCAAUACACGAAGAAAAAAGGCUAAAUAAAUAUAUAAAAAUCAAAUAAGAUAUGGCACUAAAAACGUCAAUUGUUUCACUCAUUGUAGAUCAUCAUGCAAUUAUUCUCGCCCUUUCUUUCCUCAGCAGACCACAUAUGGAUCUGGGAUGGUUUCUUUGCAGAUAAUUUCAAUAAUGACAGCAAAAAAUUGAUUCCCCAACCUGCCAUAAAAGGAAAGCUGCCUUCUCUUAAAAUGCCUUUGUGUGCUUAAAAUGUCUUUUGCCCUGCUACAAAGUUCUGCUUUACAAAAUGGAACUGAUAACCACAAAUUUUUGCUUUGUCCUUCAAAGAAAUAGAAUUUUAUUUGUUCUUCUUCAAUCAUCUAUACAAUAACUGAGUAUUUUUCGUAAUUUGGUGUAGUUACUAAUUUGAAGUCGGAGUAAAAAUGUAUUGAUGGUAAAAAAAUCAAUUCCUAAUGUUUUGAGGGGCAGAGAAGUAUUUCCUUCCAAGUACACAUUAUUUGAUGAGCCCGAUUACCGUUAUUUGCAGCAACCUAGACAAAACUGCACCCAACUUGGCAUGAAUCUCUUUCCCGUGGUUUUGAAUUAUCAGGGACAAUGUGGCUUGAAGACUUGAAGAUAAGGAGAUUGUUGUCUAGCUUUAACCAUAAGAAAAAAGAGGACAGAAAACACGUAAGUGGGGCAAAGAAAUUGACCCCUACGAAGCCAAGUGAGGUUAAUCAUAAUGAAGAGUAUUGAUGAAUCCGUUUUAAGGGUCAAAAAACCUCUCUUGGACUCGGUCAAAGGAAGGACCCAUUUUUCCUUGAGCUAAGUUAAACAAAAGACCCUUCUUUAUGAAUAUAGCUAUAUUUUCCGACUUUAUUCUUUCUGCAUCUAAUCUAUUAGAUAUAUAAAAUUCUUUCAAGAACCCAUCAUUUUCCCUCAUUAAUAUAUAUAUAUUAGAUAUAUAUUUUUCUCAUUAAUACUAUCAAAAAAAUAUUAUGUUUUUUCUUCUCUUCAUCAGUAAAAGACUUAUAAGCCAUGGUUUUAAAAGCCAACCCGAUAAUCAAUCCGAUCUAAUAAUCGGGUCACGGGUCAAAUAAGUUAACCGGGUCAACCCAAAAAAAAUAUUCGUGUUUGGUCGCUGUCAUGUCUUACAUGAAAAGACCUAAAGCUAAAAUCCAUCAUCCACUCUUACAUAGUCUUAUCUCUAUAUGUCACUCUCCCAAAUAAAUCUAGCAGAGCCCCUUUCCUAGCUGGAAUUCAACAAUCCACCAUUCCCUCACCACAACAACUGCAAACCUGGUCAAUAGUAGCAGUUCCCACAACAACCACGUAGCAGCUCCACCACCACCACUCUAUAUUCUCUACCGAUUACAGUCCUUUUAUCACCAAAUCACAACAUCUAUUGCCCUUCUCACGCCACCCAAAUCCUCUCCCCAUAGUAGCAUUUACCAGCAAUCCACAAAAAAACCCGAGCGACCAGCCACCACUUUAAACUGAUAGUCUCUCCACCAUGACCCUUCUCCUCUACCUCUCAGCUUUUUUACACGCCCCGGUUCAGGGUAUGGGUUCUUUCUCUAUUAAUAAAGUCCCGGUGUGAACUCCCCUACUGAUCUGACUCCAGCAGAUUCAAUUCUCUCUCUCGAUCUACUUUACCGACAAAAGCUCUGAAUGAAUGAGCAACUAGUUUGAUUCUAGCUAUUUAAAGUCAAAGCAGAGGAAAUAGAAUAUUCUAUAGCUAUAUCCUCAACAGUCUCUCGCUCCCCUCCCCUCUAAUCUAUUCUUAUAAAUGCUGGAGAGAAUUGUAACUGAGUUAUAAAGUAAAUGAAGAAAACAAACAGCAUGGCCACUGAGUUAUAAAGCAAAAAACACCACAACCGUUUGAAUCUAUAAAAAACAAAAAAAAAGGUAGCCGGGUUUACCCGGGUUCCGGGUUGACCCACCGGGUCGACCGGGUUUUGCCGGGUCAACUCCCUGGCGGGUUUUUACUUAGACCCAGACCAGUCCCAGGCCCGGGUCGGCCGGGUCCCGGGUCGACCCACCGGGCCGGUCCGGGUUUCAAAACACUAUUAUGGGCUAUAAAUAAACCAGAAAUCCUUUAUACAAAGGGUUUGGAAUCUCCAUUCUCUAAUGUAUAUUUAUUUUUAGAGUAUUUCUCUAUAAUAUUAAUAUAUUUUCUCUCCAAAGUUAUUAACUUAAUCAUUAGAGAGUCUCCAAAAAUCAUCAAAGGAAAUCUUUUUACAUGUAUCAGGUACUAGCCUCCAUCCACCUCAAAGAGAGAAUGGACCAGAUUUUCAAAAUCAAGAAAUUAACCAAUUAUCCAAGACAUAAGUCUUGCCCUUAAAUUGCUUAAAUUUUUUAGGACCUCAUCAUUGACAUCGUUUGUGAUAAAGCACAAUCUCAUUGGAAGAGGUUCUCCUUAGCGUGAUUGCACAAUCUUCUUAGAAGGGGUUCUCCCUAGUGUGAUUGCAAAAUCUCAUCGGAAAGGGUUCUCUCUAGUGCGAUGACUCCACCCUCCAUGAUAGCUUGAAAUGGUCCACCUUAACAAAGCAAUAAGACCCCGUUCUAUGGUCAAGUAUAUGUCACCAAAGCUAACUGGAACCCGAAGAACUAAUAGAACUCUCCAGAUAGGCUCUUAGACAUUAUGAUGUUUCCAAGGAUGAUCUUGAAUAUUUCACUCUCAAGUUUGAUCUCUUUCUCUCUCUCUCUCUUAUUAAUAUUAUCAAGAUAAUAUUAUAUUUUUGUCCCUCCUCAUCAGUAAAAGACUUAUGAGCUAUAAAUAAAUUAGAAAUUUUUUAUACAAAUGGUUUAGAAUCUCCAUUCUCUACUAUAUAUAUUUUCUCUUCAAAGUCACUGACUUAAUUCUCGGAGAGUCCUAAAAAAUCACCAAAGGAGACCUUUUUACAAGUAUUAAGUAUCAGCCCCCAUCCACCUCAAAGGGAGAAUGAAGUAGAUUUUCAGAACCAAGAGAUUAACUAAUUAUUCAAAACAUAAACAUUUCCCCUAAAAUGCUUGGAUUUUUUAGGAUCUUAUCAAGUAUGUUCAAGAGCAUAUGCAAUAUGCAAAAAUAGUGAUAAAAACCAUUGGUUUGAAGGGUAAACUACUCUUCCUUUAUGUCUUACCUUUUCUUUGAGCCAUGUUUUGUAAUUAUUUGUUCAUCACAAUUGGCGUGGUAAAGGUUUGUAACUCGUAAGACUAUGAACCUUAGGCUUGGUUGAAGCAGAUAUAUGGUGGAUACAUAUUUCCAGUUCAACUUUGAGAACCAUUGUAAUGCAAACAUAAGAAAUCAAUUAGCUAAUGUGUUCAUAAGAACACUAUAAAACUUUUCAUGGUUGACAAAACUUUAGGACAAGAAAGAGUAAUUAAUCUCUUACCAUAAGAACUUUGGGUCUUCAGAAACUCAUCCAUAAAGUAUAAGUGCUCAACAAUAUUGUUUUAGCUAUACAAUAAUAGCUUAUCACUCUUCCAUUUCAUCAAUAAGAAAUACAACAUAUUGAUCCAUUAGAUGCACUAAAAGAUAAAGACAACUCUAGUUUUAUGAAGAAAUAUGAAAAAUAACAUGUAGAAUAUGCACAAUACUUCAACUCUUUUAUAAAACUACUCUUGUUAUGAAGAUCACUCUAUAAAAGAUCUUAGCCAUAUGCAAUCUCCAUCAAUCCUUCUUUGACUCUUGCUCACAUGCUUUUUGAGAAAAAAAAUCUAUAUGCUCAACUUGCAAGAUAUUUUAUUGGUCUGCUCAGAUAUGGUAUCACAAUAUUGAUCUUGACUUCAUAUUUCAUCUUUAUAAAUUAUAUAUUAAGCUAACCUUUUAUUUUAGCACUAGCAUACUAGGUAAAAAUAGCACGAUUAGGCUCUUUAUCAUUAUACAACAAGAGAAUGAAAGCACAAAGCAUAUAUUUAAAGAUUCAACAAAUAAAUUGUAAACACGAAGAAUCUAUGUGAACUUAUCGCUACUAAGGCUCUAAUAAGUGGAAUAUUCUAUAAAUAUUCAUUAUGGGAAUGCUUUUAUACUUUUCAUGACAAAACUUUUGUCUAUAAAAAUCAUGUAAUAAAAAACCAUAUUUGGGUGAAGGAAGCAAGUGUAACUAGAUAAGAAUACUCUUAUUUCUGGAAAGCAAAAUCUCCAUGAUAGCACUAGUUUUCUACUAGGACAUUAAAAAAAAGCACCAAGCUAUCCAUUUACGAUCUAGCUUUUAGCCACAUCAUUCACCACUAUGCAUACAUAGGUGUUGGAUUCCAUCUAGGGAAGAGAUUUUGUACAAUAUCCAUCUUUCAUGAAGAGUGGUAUUAACACAAAAAACCCUAACAUGUUUUUGUAACAAAAAAGAAAGAAACACAUUAAUAAAAAAAAAAAAAAAGAGUUUUGAUUAGAUACAUUGUUCACUCUUUAUUUCAAAUCAAUACAAUUUUUCUAACUUCUAUUUUAGUUUUCUUUAUUUUUUAUCCAAUAAACUUUAUUGCUAAUAGAAAAGAUAUGUUUUUCAAAUUAAAAAAAUUAAUAUGAAAAGAGAAUUUUAACUAAGAAUAACUAUUUUUAUUAAUGAAUAUUCAUUUUUAUUUUCAUACAAUUAAAUAAAAAAUCAAAAAGCAAAGAUGUUAUUAGAUUAAAUAUUUACACUUGCAUUUUUUUCUAUUUUUUACAAAAAAAAAACCCAACUGUUUUAGCCUUUAAUUAGAUUAACCAUUCGAUUUAUUAAUUCUUUAAUUUGUUUUUUUUUUAAAUACAAACAUCAUCAUUUCAAUUUAAAAAUUUUAUGCUAUCAAAAGUCAAAACACAACUCCACAGAUUCAUAGCUUCUUUUUUAUUUUUUAACACUACAACUUAGUUUUGGAAUGUUACCCGUAACUAGUUGGUAUAUAUUUAAUGUCUCGUUUGUCAGGUCGAUGAGAAUAUUCCAACCAUAUACAUGCACUUCGUGGAACAAGCUAGCUAGCUGGCACAGGCGCCAAAGAAGAAUGAAACCGGGCAUAUUUCACUUUUCAGAGUAAUUUGUUUUGUUUUUUAAAUAUUUUUUAUUUAAAAAUAUAUUAUUUUUUUAUUUUUAAAAAUUUAUUUUUAAUAUCAGUAUAUUAAAAUAAUUUAAAAUUAAAAAAAUUAAUAACACUAUUUAAAUACAAUAACAAAUACUUUACAAGUACAACCUUGAUUAAUAAACAAACCAUCAAAGCAAAUCAUACUUGAAAAAUAAAUUUAGCUGUCCCAACUAGUACUUGUGUCACUGAAUUUUAGUCACGGAUAGGAAAAUGAAAAUAAAUAAAUAAAAAAUAGUGUUAGAGUUUUUGGGCACAAAUCUUGUGAUGCGCAUCAAUUACACUAAAAAAAAUUGACCACUGAUUUGGCGACCAACCACAUGAUUUCUGACUAUACGACGUCACAAUAUUUUUUCAAAAACAAUAAGAAUUUUUUUAAAAAAUACAUCUGAAUUUUAUUUGAUAGAAAAUUUAAAACUGAUAGUUUCACUAAUAAAUCUUAUCUUUUAGAUUCUGGCCAAUGAACAUAAACACUAAAGAUACAAGGAAGAAGAAGUUCAGACCAAUAAGACAAGUGUUGAUGGCAAGCUCCAAGAAAAAUUCUAGAACCGUGUAUGAGCCCGUGAUGAAUGCGCCGCAACAACUAGAUGAGACUCUCUUGCUUUAUUGAUAGCAGCCUCUUCCCCUUUGUUUCUCUCCUCGUUCCCUCUUCCUAAAACCUUGUGCCGGCGGCCAAGCGGUCUACUGCCAACAUUUUCAAGGGAUUCUAGGAUCUCUUUCUACCAAAUAUUUAGGGUAAAAUAUCAUAUAUUAUUUUUAGCUAUUUAACAAAUAUCAUAUAUAAAUUUCCAGGCCUUUGUUUUUGUUUCCACAACUAGUUUGUUUGCCAUCAAAUCCUUUUUGUUAGUAUUGUAUAUAUUGAACCGCAUGCUUUACAUUAGAAAAUAAUGGAAAAUAGAAAAUAAUACAGUGAGAAACUGAACAAAAAUUAUGUGGACCCAUUUAAUGGAUAUGAUUAAGAUGCCGAGCUAAAAGAAUCGGAGAUACAAUGGAACUAGAUGGAUAUUAUGAUUAAGCUAGCUAGCUGGCACAGCAGCCAUAGAAGAAUAAAACUUGGCAUAUCCCAACUUUUUAGAGUAGUUUUCUUACGGUGAAAGCGAGAUUCUUUGUAAUAUGAUAAUAAUUGCAUUUUAAAUUAUUAUUUAUUUAAAAAUAUAUUAGAAUAAUUUAUUUUUAUUUUUUAAAAUCUAUUUUUAAAAUUAACACAUUAAAAUAAUAUAUAAUCAUAAAAAAUUAAUUUAAAAUAAAUAAUAAUAAUAAUAAUAAUGUUUUUUUAAAACGAAAACAAACACUUCAAUCUUGAUUAAUCAACAAACCAUGAAAGCAAAUUAUACUUGGAAAAUAAAUUUAGCUGUCCCAACUAAUAUUUAUGUCACUAAAUUUUGGUCAAGAAUAGGAAAGAGAAAAUAAAUAAAUAAAUAAAAAUAGUAUAAAGUUUUUGACCAUUUGACUUGUAAUGAGCAUCAAUUACAAAAUAAAUAAAAAAAUUAACAACUGAUUUUUGCAACCAAUCACAUGAUUUCUGAACAUAUGACAAUAAAAAUUUAUAAUAAUACACCAGAUCGGGUUUUAUUUGAUAAAAAAUUUAGAAUAGAUUGUUUCACUAGUAAAACUAAUCUUCUACAUCCUUCAAAUGAUCCUAAAUACUAAAUACACAAUGUAAAAGAAGCUCAGGCCAAUGAUACAAGUGCUGAUAGCAAGCCCCAAGGAAGGUUCUAGAACGGCGUAUAUGCCUGUGAUGAAUGCGAUAAUCAUUGUACCCAUGCCAAUCAUGGUAAACAACGUGGCAACCACAAAUAAUUUUGCAGCAACUUUCUCAUCUAACUCUUCAUCCUUGAACAAUUCAAAACCUUUAAUCAGCGAAAUCAAAAAGUGGAUAAAGACAGCAGAAAUAGAGAGCACCAUUGACAUUGCAUCUGAGAUGACAAAUACUAUAAAAGCAGCUUUUUUAGCUAGAAUUGCAGUGCCUCGGUCGCUCUUGUAACCGCCAGGUAGAGUGAAUGCUGCUGCAAAUGUUACCGUUGCUAUCAGCGCCGCAACUACUAGAUGAGACUCUCUUGCUUUACUCAAAGCUUCCUCUCCCUCUUUGUUUCUCCCAACAUUCCCUCCUUUAAAAGCCAUAGUCCAGCGGCCAAGCGGUCCACUGCCAACAUCGUCAAGGGAUUCUAGGAUCUCUUUCUGCAAAAUAUUUAGGGUAAAAUACCAUAGAUAUCCAUCAUUUUCAGCUAUUUAACAAAUAUCAUAUAUCAACUUUGCCUUUGUUUUUGUUUCCACAACUAAUUUGUUUGCAAUCAAAUUCUUUCUGUUACUGUAUAUAUUAGAAGGCAACAAAAACUAAUUUGGUUGAAAUUAAACCGCAUGCUUUACAUUAGCCCAACUAUCCCCGAAAAGAAAACUAAGAUGUGGACUUAAUUUUAUAUACCAUUGAUUUUACAUAUUAUUGUUUAUUGCUACUCUCCUUAGUCGCUUGUAAGAUUAUGUUAAGUUUCUACUAGAUUUUUCAACUUUAAUUUUCAGAUUUUCAAAAUUUUAACUAAUUGUAUUUUUUUUCAUUCAUUUGUACUACUUUUCAUUUUUUUAUUGAAUAAUAUAUGUUUUUUUAUUGAAUAAUAUAUGUUUUAACUAAUUUUUUUUUAUUGUAGAUGAAAAACUUAACAAAAUCAAUAUAAUGACUUCAUUCCAAAAAAAAAAGAUUAUUAAGUUAUUCCGAUGACUUCACUUUUAUUUUUAGUAUUACGGUUUAAAUGGUUUUUAAAAGUUUUUUAAUUUAAAAAUAUAUUAAAAUAUUUUUUAAAAUUUUAUUUUAUUUUUUAUUUCAGUUUAUCAAAAUUAUAAAAAAAUAAAUAAAAAAAAUAUUAAUUUAAUUUUUUAAAAUAAAAUACAUUUUUAUAACGAAACUAGGAACAGAAGAUACUUUUAAGAUGAUACCGGUUACAAAACUGAUCCCAAUAAAAAAUAAUACAGUGAGAAACUGAACAAAAGUUAUGGGGACCAUUUGGUGGAUAUGAUUAAGAUGCGGAGCUAAAAGAAUCGGAGUUGCAAAGGAACUAGAUGGAAAUCGGUCAUAGAAAACUAGUUUGCUGUGAUUUAAUUAUAUUCAAAACCCAGAUUGAGAAAUCGAGAAAUUUAUUCAUUAUAUAUAUAUAUAUGGGGGGGGGGGGGGUUUAAUGGAUGCAUUAAUUAUCACAACAGUUAAUUCAUAGAGGAUUGAUUACCUCUAUCUCUGCAAAUUCUCCAAGAUAAAUGUCGUUGAUGCUUAGCUUUCGCUUAUUAAGACCAUAUGUCUGCCAUUUACUAUAACCACAACUAUCGUUAAAUAAAAAACUUCCCCAAUUCAGCGAUAAAGCAGCAAUUAGAUGGAAGGGCGUGUUUCCUUUGUCAUCCUUCUCGGUUUGAAGUCUUGCAAGUUCAGGAAUCCUCAGACAUUCCUCGAAUACUUUUCUAUCUUUACUUGCCACAGCAUAGUGAAGGGCAUUCCAACCUCUGUUAUCAACUAGCUCACAACAAGCUGGACAUCGAGAAACAAUCUCUUUCAUUACGUCUGCAAGUCCUCGAAUGGCCGCAAUGUGAAGUGCUGUUCUCUUCUUCUCUGUUUCAGCAAUGUAGGCCGCGGACGCAUCACAUUCUAGUAAUACUUCCACCAUACGAGUAGACCAUAAAUAAUAGGCAGCGUAGUGAAGUGGUGACCAGCCGUUCUCAUCGGUUGUUUUCGUCAACUUUUUUUCUUUUUCUAACAAUUUUCUUGCUGUCUCUGAAACCAACAAAACAAGCAAUAAAAGUUUUCCUUCAUCAACAACAGAGAUUUCACAUAGUCUAUGUGAGUUACUAUAUAUCCAAUACUUAAACUCACAAAGAAUUUUAGUGGUAUACUUUAUUUUAAUUUUUUUUAAAAAGCUAAUUAUGAAGCAAACACGGAUAUAUAUAUAAAAUCAAACAUACGUGGCUUUUAAAUUAUAGUUUACAAUAUUAUAUAUAAAUUAUUUAAUUCUCCAGACUCGAGCACAAAAUCCUACCAUGAUCUCCCACCUCGCUAGCCGCGUGUAGAGCAGUUCUACCAUUAGGGCCGCCAUAGUCCACUGAGAUGCAAUUAGUAAGGAUUUCAUCGAUCACCUUUUCUCGUUCUUGACCCAAACUGGAAACAGCAAUAUAAAGUGGAGUUUCUCCAUGAACAUUGGCGGGAUAUGAAAACUCAGGGUCCUCUUUAGUCAAUAUUUCCACCACAUGGCUCCGGCUAUUUCGAGCUGCCUCGUGCAACGCUGUAUCUCGCUCUCCAUUGGUCAUCCUCAACAUCAUUUUAGCUUUAGUUACUCCGCUCUCCGGAUCUGCAGGUAGAGCUUUUGCACGGUCAAUGAGGACUUUUACCACAUUGGAAUGGCCAUAUCUUGCUUCCAAAUGGAGGGGGGUUUCUCCUCUCUUAUUGGCUUGGAAUAACAGUGGUGGACACCUUUCAAGAAAUUUAUCAACAAAAUCAGUGGAUUCCGGUUCACUGCUUUGGUUUUUCAAGUAGACAUGAAGAAUGGUGUUCUCGUCUGGAGUCAAUAACUGAUUGAGGCUGCAGGUUUGAUAAUUCUCAAAGGGACCGAUAUUGCCUGCUUCUGCAGCUUUGAACAAGACAGGAUCCAUACUAUUUUGUAGCUUAGAAAAAGUCACUAAAUGAAAUGUAAACAAAUGAAGGGGAGGAGAAACCAAUGUGGCUCAAAGGUAAGAGGUUCCACUCAACUGAUCACAAGCUGCUGAUUUCUGUGGUUUGUUGCCUCCCUGGAUAAAAGGGUAUUUAAAGAGAGUUUUAGAUGUUGGUUUUCUUUUUUUUAAAAAAAAUGUUUUUUAUUUAAAAACAUUAAAUCAGACAAUGAGAAAAGUGCUGAUGGCAAGCACUAACUUUUUUUUUUAUUUAUGAAAAGAGAAUUUUAAUUAAAAAUAUAUUUUUUUUCAGAGAAUUUAAAUACCUAUCUUUAUUACAAAUAUUUAUUUUUAUUUUUAUUUUUAUUUUUAUACAAUUAAAUAAAUAAAAAAAAACAACCAUGUUACUAGGUUAAAUAUUUACACCUGCAUUUAUUUUUGUUUUUUUUUUAUAUAAAAAAUACCCAACUGUUUUAGCCUAUAAUUAUAUUAACCAUUCUUUAUGUGAUUUACUAAUUAAAAUAUUUUUAAUUCGUUUUAAAAAAAAUGCAAACAGUAUCUUUUCAAUUUUCAAUUUAAAAAUUUUAUUCUAUCAAAACACAAGUCCACAGAUUCACAGCUUGUUGGUUUCUUUUUUCUUUUUUUCUUAUCUGGUUGGUCAAGUCUGACAUGCUAUCCAAUAAAGUCGAUGAGAUUUUUCCAGCCACUUCAUGGAACAAGCUAGCUAGCUAGCGCAGCAGCCAUAGAAGAAUGAAACUUGGCCUAUCCCAACUUUUCAGAAUAUUUUGUUUAUUUAAUUGUUUUUUAAAAUAUUUUUUAUUUAAAAAUAUUUUUUAUUUUUAAAAAAUUAUUUUAAUAUUACUAUAUUAAAAUGAUUCAAAAUUAUAAAAUAUAAAAAAAUUAAUAACACUUUUUAAAUAAAAAAACAAACACUUUACAAGUACAUUCUUGAUUAAUAAACAAACCAUCAAAGCAAAUUGUACUUGGAAAAUAAAUUUAGUUGUCCCAACUAUUUGUGCCACUAAAUUUCUGUCAUGAAUAGAAAAAUGAAAAUAAAUAAAUAAAAAAUAGUGUCCGAGUUUUUGACCAAAAGUCUUGUGAUGCGUAUCAAUUACAAAUAAAAAAAAUUGAAAACUGAUGGGCAACCAACCACAUGAUUGCUGACCAUAUGACGUCAAUUUUUUUUUCAAAAACAAUUAUUUAAAAUGUUUUCACUACUAAAUCUCAUCUCGUAAAUCCUUGUCAAUGAUCCUAAACACUAAGUACACAAGGAAGAAGAAGUUCGACCAAUGAGAUAAGUGCUGAAGGCAAGCCUCAAUGAAGGUACUAGAACUGCAUAUGUGCCUGUAACGAGUGUGAUAAUCAUUGUCCCCAUGCCAAUCAUGGUCAACCACGUGGCAACCUCAAAUAAUAUCCUAGUGGUUUCCUUAUCUAUCGUUUCAUCCUUAUCCAUUUCCAAACCUUGAAUCAAUAAAAUAAAAAAGUGAAUAAAAACAACAAAAAUAAAAAUCACCAUUGAUAUUACAUCUAAUAUAACAAAUACUAUAAAAACAGCUUUUUUUUUAGCAAGAAUUGCAGCGCCUUUAUUUGAAUCUUGGCCGCUCUUGUAACCGCCAACUAGGGUGAAUGCUGCUGCAGAUGUUGCUGUUGCUAUCAACGCCGCAACUAUUAGAUGAGACUCUCUUGUUUUACUCAAAACUUCCCCUUUGUUUCUCUCAUUCUGUCCUUUAAAAUCAAAGGUAUGGCGGCCAAGUGAUCCUCGGCCAACAUCUUCAAGGGAUUCUAGGAUCUCUUUCUGUGAAAUAUUUAGGGUAAAAUAUCGUAGAUAUCCAUUAUUUUUAAGUAUUUAUUAGCAGGUAACAAAAACUAAUUUGGUUGAAAUUAAACCGCAUGCUUUACAUUAGCCCAAUUAUCCCCAAAAAGAAAACUAAGAUGUGGAUUUUUAGUCCAAUUUUAUAUACCAUUAAUUUUCAACUUUAAUUUUCAGAUUUUUUAAAUUUUAAUUAAUUGUAUUUUUUUUUCAUUCAUUUGUACUACUCUUCGUUUUUUUAUUGAAUAAUAUAUGUUUUUAUAAAGCAGCUGUUACAUCCAAUUCAUAUGCAUAAUAUGUUAUUGUAGAAGAAGAACUUAACAAAAUCAAUAAAAUGACUUGAUUUCAAAUAAAAAACAUUAUUAAGUUAUUCACUUUUAUAUGUUUGGUAUUGUAUGGUUUUUAAAAGAGUUUUUUUUUAAUAAAUAUAAAAAUAAUUUUUUUAUUUUUAUUAUUUUUGAUAUAAGCUUAUCAAAACUAUAAAAAAAAAUCACAAAAAUAUUAAUUUAAUUUUUUGAAAAUAAAAUACAUUUUUAAAACAAAACUAAAAAUAGAAGAUACUCGUAAGAUGUUACAAAACUUAUCCCAACAAGCAAUAAUACGGUGAAACUGAACAAAAGUUAUGUGGGCUGAUUUGGUGGAUAUGAUUAAGAUGCGGAGCUAAAAGAAUCGGAGAUGCAAAGGAACUAUUAUAGAAUGUAUCAAUAUAGAAAAUAUUGUAGGUAUAUUAUAUAUAAAAUAUUAUAGUUAUACUCUUGUGUUAUAAUAUUCAUCUUUAUUAUUAUAUAUUGCCCUGUAUAUAUAUAUAUAUAUAUAUAUAUAUAAAAGAUUGGCUAACCAAUAAGUCAAGACUCCUAAUUAUUCUUAACUUGAUAUUAGAGUUUUCUGCCGUCAGAACUCUUUUCUCCCUCUCCCCCUUGUAAUCGACCUUCUCUCUGCUUUUUAUAAAUGUAUUCUACUGCUGCCGUCAACUUCUCCCUCAUCAUCGGUAGUGCAGCACAGCCGAUCAGUCAUUUACAAGUUGCUGCUGAUGGUGUCUUUCCUCCACAACAUAAGCUUCCACUUGCAAAGCAUGUAUCUGAUUCCUCCUCGCAAGUUUCUGCCGUUCCUUUGUACAUUAUGGGAACACAAACUCCAGCUAUUGUUACUGUAUCAAACACCCACCAAGUUGUUUUGUUGAAAAUUACGAACACAUUAACAAGCCAAUGGAAGCAGCUGCAAUAUAAAGUGAGUUUCUCCAUGAACUUUGGCGGAAUAUGAAAACUCAGGGUCCUCUUUAGUCAAUAUUUCCACCACAUGGCUCCGCCUAUUUCGAGCUGCCUCGUGCAACGCUGUAUCUUGCUCUUCAUUGGUCAUCCUCAACAUCUUUUUUGCUUCUGUACGUUACUCCGCUCUCUGAAUCAGUAGGUAGAGCUUUGGCACGGUCAAUGAGGACCUUUACCACAUUGGAAUGACCAUAUGCUGCUGCCAAAUGGAGUGGGAUUUCACCUUUCUUAUUGGCUUGGAAUAACAGUGGUGGACACAUUUCAAGAAUUAUAACAACAAAAUCAGUGAGUUCCGGUUCCCUACUUUGGUUUCCUAAGUAGACAUGAAGAAUGGUGUUCUCGUCUGGAGUCAAUAACUGAUCAAGGCAGGUUUGAUAUUUCUCAAAGGGAUCGAUAUCGCCUUCAGCUGCAGCUUUGAACAAGACAGGAUCCAUAUAGCUGAUACGUUUCAUUUUCUCAGAAGAACCCAUUUUGUAGUUUAGAGAAACUCACUAAAUGAAAUGUAAAGAAAUGAAGGGGAGGAGAAAGUACUGUGGCACAAAGGGUCCACUCAACUGAUCACAAGCUGCUGAUUUCUUUGGUUUUUUACAAAGGAGAAAGUUAUUCAUGCUAAUCACAAAUAGACUCAUAAUGCAAAUAACUUCAUCUUUUAGGUGAUUGUUGAACAACAUGGUUAUGGAUGGAGGUGGCUCUAUUAAUAAGAACUGGAAGUGUAUUUCCCACAAUUAUUACAAUAUUUCUUCAAGCCAAAAUGAAGUUGCUGACAAAUUAGUAAGUAAGUGGCAGCUGUCAUUAAGAUAGAGUAUUAAUAAGAACAGGGGAAUUGGAAGCCGUCGCUUUUGAUCGUUUCAAUGGGGACUGGCCGCAUUAGCAG